AUUGAACGCUGGCGGAAUGCUUUACACAUGCAAGUCGAACGGCAGCACGGACUUUGGUCUGGUGGCGAGUGGCGAACGGGUGAGUAAUAUAUCGGAACGUGCCCAGUCGUGGGGGAUAACGUAGUGAAAAUUACGCUAAUACCGCAUACGAUCUACGGAUGAAAGCGGGGGAUCUUCGGACCUCGCGCGAAUGGAGCGGCCGAUGGCAGAUUAGGUAGUUGGUAGGGUAAAAGCCUACCAAGCCGACGAUCUGUAGCUGGUCUGAGAGGACGACCAGCCACACUGGGACUGAGACACGGCCCAGACUCCUACGGGAGGCAGCAGUGGGGAAUUUUGGACAAUGGACGCAAGUCUGAUCCAGCCAUUCCGCGUGCAGGAUGAAGGCCCUCGGGUUGUAAACUGCUUUUGUACGGAACGAAAAGGUUUCUAUUAAUACUAGGAGCUCAUGACGGUACCGUAAGAAUAAGCACCGGCUAACUACGUG
rnacentral:rRNA from 1 species